rnacentral:rRNA from 1 species
CAUGUGGUUUAAUUCGAAGCAACGCGAAGAACCUUACCAGGUCUUGACAUCCCGAUGCUAUUCUAGAGAUAGAAAGUUACUUCGGUACAUCGGUGACAGGUGGUGCAUGGUUGUCGUCAGCUCGUGUCGUGAGAUGUUGGGUUAAGUCCCGCAACGAGCGCAACCCUGACCUUAGUUGCCAGCAUUCAGUUGGGCACUCUAGCGAGACUGCCGGUAAUAAACCGGAGGAAGUGGGAUGACGUCAAAUCAUCAUGCCCCUUAUGACCUGGGCUACACACGUGCUACAAUGGUUGGUACAACGAGUUGCGAGUCGGUGACGGCGAGCUAAUCUCUUAAAGCCAAUCUCAGUUCGGAUUGUAGGCUGCAACUCGCCUACAUGAAGUCGGAAUCGCUAGUAAUCGCGGAUCAGCACGCCGCGGUGAAUACGUUCCCGGGCCUU